UUAACGAUCAAGUCCCAACCUGCGUCGCCACGACCCAAUACCUCUCGUGUUUUUAUUUACCAAUUCCGGUGGUUCCCCGCAUAAGACCGUCUUUGUUCCAUACCUCUAAAGCCUCUGAUUAACCUCGGAAACAUUUCUCCCGCACGAGCUAUCCCAUAACCAACAACAAAUGUGAGGUGUUGGAUACCUUUGGCGACUUAAGGUCAGUUUUUUCGUCUAAACGAAUGACGAAUGCAACGUUUUUCAUGAGGAAUAGAACAGUGACGAUCUCCAUGACUCGUUGGAGAUCGAAUCAGCUCGGCAGGGUCGCUUAGCAACGAGGAUUUCUCGAAAGAAUCAUUGCGACGAGAUACGGAGAAUUGUUGGCGGAAUACUGUCAGCUCAAACGUCUCACUUAUACUGGGAGACUAAAUUACGACGGGCCCAGAGAGAAAGAGAGAGAGAGAGAGAGCGAGAAAAAGCGAGUAACCUUCGUUAUUUACAUCACAGCUAAGUCAUUCACCUACCCAAAGAUCACUGCCCAAUCGUUUCUUCUCUGGUUUGUUCAGUCUUUUUGUGUGAAAAUUUCUCUGGUGUCAACUGUGUUUUACCAACCGGAACCAAAUGGCCGCGGAAAUGCAACUCAGCGGGAUAAUACAUUCUUACAAAAUGAUAAAAAUAAUUUUCAAACAGACGUUGUGAUUCUGAAUCUGGUUCAAAGUGGGAAACUCUUACUUGGACAGAGCAUUUUUAUGUUUAUGCUAAAACCAGAUAGGAAUUAAGAGUUGGAGGAAGCCUGAAACAGACACGACUGACCUGGAGGACCGUUGUCCAGAGACUGAAUUCUUACUAUUUGAAAAACCUGUACUAAGGGAAAAAACAAGAGAACGUUUAUGACUCCAGAGGACAGAGUUUUCUUUGAAUACCACAUGUGGUAAGGAUUUGCGACGCUCUCAAGUGCGGAGCACAACAGAUCAUAAAUUAGUCCUUUUCUGGAGACUCUUUCAAAUACGUCAUAAACCUUGUCGAGUGAUUUUUGAAGAUAAACAGAAGAGCUGUGUUCUAAUCUUCCAACAAUUGAUAUGUGGCUUCGUAAAAAUUACUAUACGCGAACGCCUGUUUCUGCAUCCAUUUUGACCAUGCGACUUUUUUCGAAAACCAUCGUGAGGUAACUUGAUCCACAAUGGAUGCUCUCAGGAACACCAACGUUUUCGCCUUUUCAACUAACGCGAAACUUCAUUCAUUUAAUCGGCCAAUGGGAAAGACCUUACGCCAUUUCGACUCGGACGAACUUCAUUUAUGUGCUUCUGCUUUCAUAAAUAGGAUGUACUAGUUCAAUUACUAUUCUCUAAUGACUGAAGUGAAUUUUGUUUCCCCGAAUUAGGGGGAGGAUCAUGAUGACGGAUUCACGGGUCUCGUGGGUGCAUCUACCGAGAACAUCACACAAUUGGUGGAGUAGAGCGUGUAAAAAAUGGAAAGGAAGAAGAAAAAAUGUCCAUCCGCACAUAAGUUUGUGGAAUGCACUUUUGCACGAUUCAUUUGUCACAGAGAGAAAAUAAAAUCAAAAAUUUAUUGGGCUGACACUUUUACAUAUGAUUUUUUGUUGAGUACAUAUUAAAGAGUCAAACGCCACAAUUUCCGAGAACUUUCGUGUGAAUACUAAUGGUAGGAGAGACCAGGGUAUGACGGGGUACCCAGGGGACGAUGGAGUACUCCAAAAAUUUUAGAAAUUUUGGAAAACCGUUUUUUCAUAUAUUGUAAGUUGUUUUACACUUGUUGAAAUGAUCUUAAUGCCGAAGGGAGCGAAAAGAGAUAAAAAUCAACAAUGAGAAAUGAACUAAUUGAAUGAAAUAUAAUUUUUAAAAUGGUAAAUGUCAAAAUUAAUAACAAUAAAAUUAAAAAAUUGAACUAAUCACCUCAGCAGCGAAAUGGCAAACUGUAAUGGGGCAAAAUUAAAAUUUUCCAUAAUUGAACAUUUAUCUUUGAAACAAAAUGCUUAAUGAUCAAAUGGUGAAAAACUUUUUUGUAGAAAAGUUCAUCAGUUAAAAAAUUGAUCUUUUGACAUUUUCUUCUAAGAUUGCUCGUUUAUCAGAUAAGUGUACAAUUAUCAAUGAUUUAGGUUGUAACUUAUUAUAGUUUUGCACUUUGCUACUAAGAUAAAUUUUGAAUAAAUCAAAAGUAAUUUGUUUCCCCAACUGAACAUAUAAAAAAUUCUACAUCUUCAUGGGUUUAUAUGGUGUCCACUGCGACAAGUAUUUUGAAAAAAAUAUUGAAAUCAAUUGAGUUGUUCAUGAGACAUUCAAGGAAAUACAUUCACGCAAAAGGUAUAAUGUCUCUGGAACCGCUCGUCCAAAACAACAUCCUUUCAUGUUAUGAGAACUACAAAUGUACAAAUUUUCAAUUUACGAUCUCUAUUUUUUGUUAAUUUGUGAUGUUCACAAUGUUUAUGAUGAUAAAACCUAAAAACGGCGAUUUAUGGAAAUUUUACCCAAAAACGUGGAUAUUUCGAUCGAUAUAGAUAAGUCACACUGAGACGAGUAUUUUGAAAGAAAAAAUUGAAAGUCUUUGCGAUAUCGAGGAAAAACGAAAUUUACAAAAAUGACUAUAUCUCAGAAACUACUGAACCGAUCCAGCAGUUCUGACACAACGUACGAAAGUAAAGUUUUAUGAUAACUGUCAUAAGUUGAAAAUUCUGAUUUUUAGCUACAAAUUUUACCGUAUUGUUUUACAGUUUUCUCCAAAUUAAUCUUCAAAAUUACGAAUCUUCCAGCACAUACACACAGACAUGAUCCAACAACAUCAUUUUUUCACGUUUCAUAACGUUGUAGAUGGCUUGCAAUUACAGUUAGAGAAUCGAAAAAUCGGUCAAAUGCAAGGCUUCCGUCUGGAAGCAAAAGUAAGCCGCAAAGAAGAGAUUUAGGCAUAAUGAAAUGAACGAUAAUAGCUGUCUUUCUCUCAGAUACCUCGUCAUACCCCAGCAUCAUUUACAUUGUAGCAGAGCUAAUUCCUGUGAAUGUAAUACUGCAUCAUCACAACGUAUUAUUUGAUUUUUUAUUUUUCGCCUGCAGUAUCCAUCCGCAAGAUCAGUACCAAUACCAUAAAUGGUUAUUGUUAGUUUCCGUGAGAGACCGAUGCGUGAGAAUGACCUACUUUAUUACAAAUUGGCGUUUGCAUGAUAUCAUAUACGGAUAUUGGAUACCGCAAAUGGGGGCCUUCAGUGGAUGGACUUUACAAAGUUAAGGCUGAAAAGUGAAAUUUUUUGUUGGCAUAAACCAAUAUAAGCUAUGCAGUUUAUUUUCAACAUCCGGACAUUGGCACUGGUCCUUUCUCAAACUCAAAUAACUGAAAAUCGUUACGGAAAAACAGUUCACAAAAAUACCGAAGUAUUAGUGGACAAAUUUCCUGCCAAAACUCCAACCUAUUUCACUUCAAUUAAAAAUAAUAACAAAUAGUAUUUAGUUUAUUAUUAUUAUUAUUAUUAUUAUUAUUGUUAUUAUUAUUAUUGUUAUUAUUAUUAUUAUUAUUGCGAAUGACGA